CCGACCUUAGCUCAGUUGGUAGAGCGGAGGACUGUAGUUGACGCAGAUUAUCCUUAAUUAGGUCACUGGUUCGAAUCCGGUAGGUCGGA